rnacentral:lncRNA from 1 species
GGGGGAGGGGAGGAGGGAAUACAUUCCAUUAUUCAAUUUCUGUUCUAACUAAACAUUCCUAGUUGUACAGCUCUCAAGGUAGGGUCUUGCUCACUGCUUACAAAUAGGACAGUUUUAUCAACAGCUGGAGAUACCUCUUAUCAAAUAGCUGAAUGCUUAUGAGGCAGUACAGUGUAGGCUAGUUGUGGUUUGCACUUAUUAAAGCAUAAUUAUAGCUCAGGCCUAUUACAAUUUAAAUGCUACAAACACAUUACUGGUUCUAUCAUGCAUCAAAAAUGUUUUGAUCACUAGGCUUGAGGGAACAUGUAAACUCCUCUUUGACAAACUUACACGAUCUGUGCUUUUCAGCUUUUGCUCUCCAAUUUGUAUCUGCUCCAGAUCUGUUUGGAGACUUAAGUUAGUUCACUUCAGAACUAAACUUCAAGAGCCAUGGAGGCCAGCGGGAGGUUUUCCAUUGACUUCAGUGAACUGUGGAUCAGGUCUGAGGAGAUAAAUCCAGCUCUUUCAGAAGCCGGUAAGAAUUAGGGUGAUAAUGGGACCCAGCCUGGGUCUUUACCGAGUGAUUUGGGUGAAUGGGCUUGUGACACUCCACAGACACAGUAAAUGGACAAAAUCUGCUUUCAGGGAAAGUCGCAAGAAUCUGUGAGUCACUCCUGAAGCACCAGGAAAUGCUGAAGGUGGGGCUGUGACAUGUAUUGUGGUCAACAGAUGGAGAGAUGAGUGGGGAGAGGAUGACAGGUUUCGCUGGAGUAUUUGGCAAUCUAGCUCUAACUGAGAUUUUUCAGAGGCUUCAAACCUGGCCAGUUUGGGGUGUGCUCUUCUGAGGAUGACCAAAGGUUUGUCCCUAACAAAUAGGCCAUGUAUUAUGCCAAACUGCAAAAAAACACAAUGCUACUGCUGUUUGCCCACAGAAUGAACGAUUUUUGAAAAUCUAUGAUGAUUGGUUAAGUCUGAUGAAGUUAUGAAUAAGCAGAAACAGCGUUGCACUCCAGUGACAAGCUUUUUGUAAACACAGGCACUUCCUAUUAGGAUACUUGUGUAAUGUCUUUUUUUCUUCUUCUUCAUUGCAGGCUCUAUUCUCUUCAUAGAAUGAAGCUGUGAAAGGACCAUAGGAAGAGACAAAACUGGAAAAUUAUAUAUAAUGUCUUGUCCACUAUGUGUUUCUGAAGAUGCCAGACCUUCACAAACCCAUGUGUGCUUCUGCUCGAGUAACUGUACCAACACUGACUUUUUUUUGAACAACAUUACGUACAGAAUUGUGCACACUGGAGGUGGAAAUUAGAUCAGAGGUAAUGGCAACACUCAGAAGGCUGUCCUCGUCUUAGAAGCCUGCAGGUAAACAUGCACUUAAGAGGUGGGAGCUGCUGAAGUUGAGAGAGACAGCGUUGGUUCCUCAUUUGCCUUGCUGUGGCACGAUGGUGAAGACCUAGCAUAGUCUCACCUGUUUGUUUUGGCAAUUAAUUGGAACUCUUGAGGUAAGACUAUUUUGUUUCAUUCUAUAACCAGCCCAGAAGAGCAAAUCCUUACAAAUCUUAAAUGCUUCCACUGUCUGAUUUGAAUUGGUUAUGUUCAUGCAGGAUAUAUCCGUCUAUUGUAGAAGUAGAAGUGAACAGCAAGUUCAAACUUAUGUCCCC